GACGAACGCUGGCGGCGUGCUUAACACAUGCAAGUCGAACGGAAAGGCCUGCUUUCCCUUGUGGAUUGCGGGUACUCGAGUGGCGAACGGGUGAGUAACGCGUGAGUGAUCUGCCCCCAACUUGGGUAUAAGCCUGGGAAACUGGGUCUAAUUCCCGAUAGGACUGCAGGGUGGUGCCUGUGGUGGAAAACGAUUUUCUAGUGGUUGGGGAUGAGCUCGCGGCCUAUCAGCUUGUUGGUGGGGUAAUGGCCUACCAAGGCGGCGACGGGUAGCCGGCCUGGGAGCGUGGACGGCCACACUGAGACUCGGAUCAGGCCCAGACUCGUGCGGGAGGCAGCAGUGGGGAAUAUUGCAGAGUGGGCGGAAGCCUGAUGCAGCGACGCAGCGUGGAGGAUGACGGCCUUCGGGUUGUAAACUACUUGCGACCGAGAGGAAGCCACCUGGUUGGAAGGGUGGUGACGGUAGUGGUAGAAGAAGCACCGGCUAACUACGUG
rnacentral:rRNA from 1 species